CUGGCUCUGAGAACUGAAUUCCAUAGGCUGUGAGCUCAUGCAAAUGCCCUAGGAAGUCAGUUCUGGAG
ensembl:miRNA mdo-mir-146b mdo-mir-146b